rnacentral:rRNA from 1 species
CCUACGGGAGGCAGCAGUGGGGAAUCUUGGACAAUGGGCGCAAGCCUGAUCCAGCCAUGCCGCGUGAGUGAUGAAGGCCUUAGGGUCGUAAAGCUCUUUCGCCAGAGAUGAUAAUGACAGUAUCUGGUAAAGAAACCCCGGCUAACUCCGUGCCAGCAGCCGCGGUAAUACGGAGGGGGUUAGCGUUGUUCGGAAUUACUGGGCGUAAAGCGCGCGUAGGCGGAUUGGAAAGUUAGAGGUGAAAUCCCAGGGCUCAACCCUGGAACUGCCUUUAAAACUCCCAGUCUAGAGUUCGAGAGAGGUGAGUGGAAUUCCGAGUGUAGAGGUGAAAUUCGUAGAUAUUCGGAGGAACACCAGUGGCGAAGGCGGCUCACUGGCUCGAUACUGACGCUGAGGUGCGAAAGUGUGGGGAGCAAACAGGAUUAGAUACCCUGGUAGUCCACACCGUAAACGAUGAAUGCCAGUCGUCGGGUAGCAUGCUAUUCGGUGACACACCUAACGGAUUAAGCAUUCCGCCUGGGGAGUACGGUCGCAAGAUUAAAACUCAAAGGAAUUGACGGGG